AACCUCCCGCAGUUUCUACGCCAGCAAA
rnacentral:sRNA from 1 species